rnacentral:lncRNA from 1 species
ACAUUGAAUUUAGAAAGUUAAAUCUAGCAAACAACCUGACAGACUGUUCAGUCUUUAAUAAUGUGAGAAUAAACAGAAUAAAUUAAAAGCACACCAUAUUCUUCUCAGCUUCCUCAGGGGCUUUGUCCAAACAGCUUGAACAACUGCAAAAUAAUAUUCAGGAACCAUGAUAGUGUUUGGUACAUAGAGGACACUGGAAAUGGUUUUCUUAACUGAACAAGUGACUAGAAUAAAGGAAUUAAUGAACGACAUCAGAGCUGAAAUCCCAAACCAUAAAUCAUAAAAGGAUCAGACAGCAAAGGACACAUUCGGGAUGCUGAGACAGCCAGUGCUUCUGCUGCAAUCAGGAAACGGCCUGCCAAAUCUGAACGUUACUGCAACACUGGCCAGAUCUUAAGUCUACCACCUCUGCUUUUCUGUGAAGCAGCCAAUAUUUCCCAGAAGUGAUAUGAAUGAUGUAAACCAAAAUCACAUCUAGAUAUGUCAAGAGAAUCUGGAAAACUGUGUGUGGGCUUGCUUUUGUUUUUGUUUUGUUUUUUUUUUUAGCUUUUUAGCCUCUGCAAUAUAAGAAAAUACACAAUAAGCAGGUUUGAAUGGAUGUUGAGCAAGCCAAUCCAAAUAUAUCAUCCCUCACACAUAUUUUCUUCCCAUUCUUAAGCCUCCAAACAGCAAUAAGAAACAAACAAAAAAUGCUCCUGUGUAACACAACCUGGCGAUCCUAACAUAAACAACUGCUCACCCUCACGUAAAAGGAAGAACAAAGCUCUUAAGUACUGCCUCCAUUUCUGAGUAAUGUUCACUCCUCCUCAAUUACAAUCCAUCUUGACAUUGUGCAAUCAAUGACAAUGAAUUUUCAUUUUAAUAGCCAUCAACCUUCUAUUGUAAAAGAGUAAGAACAGAGAAGAAAAAAACAGGAAAUUGAGUACUUAUAUAGAAACAAAACAAAAAGUUAAUAAGAGUAGCCAAGGAAAUCCUUAUUUCUACAACUGAACAAUCAUUCAUAAUCAAUAUUUGAAACUUAACACUUAAGGAUGGUGACACCAUGGAGUUUGCUAUUCACAGUUGACAUAAUUAAAUUUUGCAUUUGGUUUUUGAUGGUAUCAACCUUAUGACCCUAAUAAAUAAGAUAGUAUUUUAGGACUGUUAUGAAAUCUCUCUGGUUUAGUCAUGAGUUGACGUCUAAAUUCCUGAGCUUAUCAUUCAUUUCUGUAAGCGUUCCAAGUCACUCAGGAAAUUCUGGCCACAGCAUAGUCUUUGUAGUCACUUUCUGUACAUUAAAUUAUGGCAGCCAUUGAGUUUCCAUGGGACUUGAUUCAGUCAGCACUUGAUCACAAUCAAGCACAGGUGAUGUCUUGAUUAAUUGGUAUGCCACUACAUGCCAUAGAUUACUUAGCACUCUGUUUCCUUCUGGCAAAGUUUUCACCAAUAUGCUCAAGCCCAAGGGCAUGAGUAAACCAAUGUCCAAAUACCAUCUUUUCAGAUCUUUCUCCAGGAACCCCUCUACUUCCUCAUACCACAACUGUUAUUAGUCAACAUUCAACCAAGAGACAGAAACCACAGAAUAAUUUGAACACAGGAAGUUUAAUACAAGGAAUUAUAAACUCUCAUAGGGGAUUAGCUAUUAUGGGAAAGAGACAACUCUAAAGAAUUCAGGAAUAGCAUAUGGAGUAAGCAGCCACAAACUUUGAGGCUGAGGCAGACCUUCUAAAGAAGGAACAGAUGUGGAAGAACCCCCUACCUGUGGCCCACCAGAGUAUGAAGUUACCUUAGAUUCUGUAUAGAAGAAACAGCUUGAAAGCGUUCUUCAAAUAUACUGGAAGAAACUGCCUCCUGAGAAGUAGAUUAUAUUUUAGGCAGUCUUUCACUGCUGGCUGUGAUAUACUGUUGGUUGUCAUGCACUAGAAGAGCAUGUCCAGAGAUGUGUCCUGGAGUGAAGAAGAGUAGACCCUUUCAUCCACAGUGUCCCUGCAGAGUCCUCUAUUGACAAAGUUUAACAUCUUGACACCUGGAAAAAAAGAAAUGUUUACCAGGUUUAACUCAAUUAUACAUUAGGAAAUGAAGGGUGGUUAGAAAGAAAAACUACCUUUCCAAUGAACUAUUUGAAAUAUAAAGCUUGUGUUGUUAAUUACAGAAAAAUGCAAAUGAAGUAUAAAUUCAUAUACCACCUCUAAUUUUUUUUUUGUAAAAAAUAUUUCAAUGACAAAAUCUCCCAAAUUAGAAUAUGAGAACUUUGAUUCUGGCAAUCCUUUAAUGAUGAUGUAGUAGAAAAAGAAAUGAGGCAGGAGCUUUAAGUCCAGGUGUCAUAUUUUUCUGUCUAUAAAUAAGUUGUUAUGGUUUAUUUUGAACAACAUAGAGUAUAAUUAGAUGGUUCCUACCUUUUCUAGGAAAUUUCUGGAAAAAUAACAUUCUCAAAUUAAAAUAUGGCAAGUAAAAUGAUACAAAAAAUAAAACUUUUAGGUUGAUUUAUCAAAGAGGCAUGAAUAAACAGAAUAAAAUAAUGAGUUUGAAUUAUCAUAUUUUAAAUAAUUGCAUUAAAAUAGAUUGGUAUCAGGUGCCUUUAAUUCAAUAAGCCUUGAGCUCUUUGUCACACUUUUUUUUCAGUAUUGAGUUAAAGAGUGGAUAUUAAGAAAAACCUAUCUACUGCUGAUGUAGAAAAGGAGUGACCGACUUCAUAAGUUAUCUUUGUUUCCAAUCAUUUGAAAGAAUGUCCAACAUUACUUAUAAGUUUUCUAUAAACCUUCAGUGAAUGUUAAUAAUUGUUGGCAUUUUUUGAACAAAUAUUAUGUUCCAUAGUAUAUUCAUGUAUUCCUAGAGCUUUAUACAAUUAAUGUAUUUAAUAUUCAUAAAUACCCAGUAAGACUAUUUAUUAAAUGCUAAAAUAAAUUAUCAUUGUCAUUUUACAGAUGGAGAAAUUUACCAAAACCUGACUUUUGAAAGUUAAAGAGCUAUGUAAUGAGACAGCAAUUCCACAAAAUUUGGUUCCAGAAUUUGAUAUUUAUUCUAUUACUAUUUCCAUGAUGAAAAAAAAACUGAAGACAUAAAAAAUUUGGAAGUAUAUUUCUAUUUUGAUUAUAAAUUCUUUCUUCUAAGCACCACAUGGUUAGAAGGGCAAAGUUUUGCAACCUAUGAUGGUAAUUUUAGGUGUAUAAAAUAAUCCACUUUUGUCUAUUGGUAACUAUUUUGCCAAUUAAAUUUUGUGUGUAAUAACUGGGGCAAAAUAUAUGAUUAGCAUUUGCAGCAUCAAUAAAUUGCCUAAUUGCAAAGUCUUGUUUUAGC